GACGAACGCUGGCGGCGUGCUUAACACAUGCAAGUCGAACGGAAAGGCCCUGCUUUUGUGGGGUGCUCGAGUGGCGAACGGGUGAGUAACACGUGAGUAACCUGCCCUUGACUUUGGGAUAACUUCAGGAAACUGGGGCUAAUACCGGAUAGGAGCUCCUGCUGCAUGGUGGGGGUUGGAAAGUUUCGGCGGUUGGGGAUGGACUCGCGGCUUAUCAGCUUGUUGGUGGGGUAGUGGCUUACCAAGGCUUUGACGGGUAGCCGACCUGAGAGGGGGACCGGCCACAUUGGGACUGAGAUGCGGCCCAGACUCCUACGGGAGGCAACGGUGGGGAAUAUUGCACAAUGGGCGGAAGCCUGAUGCAGCAACGCCGCGUGCGGGAUGACGGCCUUCGGGUUGUAAACCGCUUUCGCCUGUGACGAAGCGUGAGUGACGGUAAUGGGUAAAGAAGCACCGGCUAACUACGUG
rnacentral:rRNA from 1 species